UCAUCAUCAUCAUCACCACAUCCAUCAUCACAAUCAUCACCAUAAUCACCACCAUAACAUCAAUACAUCAUCACCAUCCACCACCAGCACCACCAGCACCAUCACCACCAUCAUCACCACCAUCACCACCAUCAUCACCACCAUCACCACCAUCACCACCAUCACCACCACCAUCAUCACCACCAUCACCACCAUCAUCACCACCAUCAUCACCACCAUCACCACCACCAUCACCACCAUCAUCACCACCAUCACCAUCAUCAUCACCACCAUCACCAUCAUCAUCAUCAUCAUCACCAC